GGGCUUGACAUCCCACGAACCUGCCUGAAAGGGCGGGGUGCCCGCAAGGGAGCGUGGAGACAGGUGGUGCAUGGCUGUCGUCAGCUCGUGUCGUGAGAUGUUGGGUUAAGUCCCGCAACGAGCGCAACCCUCACCCCUAGUUGCCACCGGGUAAUGCCGAGCACUCGAGGGGAACUGCCAGCGUCAAGCUGGAGGAAGGCGGGGAUGACGUCAAGUCAUCAUGCCCCUUACGCCCUGGGCUACACACGUGCUACAAUGGCCAGUACAAAGGGAUGCGAGACCGCAAGGUGGAGCUAAUCCCAAAAAGCUGGUCUCAGUUCAGAUUGCAGUCUGCAACUCGACUGCGUGAAGGAGGAAUCGCUAGUAAUCGCGCAUCAGCACGGCGCGGUGAAUACGUUCCCGGGCCUUGUACACACCGCCCGUCACACCACGAAAGCUGGCUGUACUCGAAGUCGCUGAG
rnacentral:rRNA from 1 species